rnacentral:lncRNA from 1 species
AGGAAAUUUUAGUAAACUGGUUCCACCUCACAGGAUGAAGGACAUUCGGCCAGCAGCUGCAGGAUUUCCUGACUGCACUUGGCUGAACAUUUGGCUUCAGCUGAUAGAAGCAAGUAGACCUAUGUUCUGGCCAAAAUGACAGAGAUAAACUGUCCCUCUCUCUCUCUCUUUCUGAAUUCUUCCAGAAGAAGUGAAUUUGGCUCAAUCAGCAGGUCUGGGUGCAUGAACUUGCAAUAGGCGGGGGAAGGCAGACAUGUGUUGCAUAUGGGGUGCUCACAGCUCCUGAGCACUUGGCAACCCCACUGGGGCCCACCUUGCUCCUCCCCUCUGUUCACACUGACCUCACCAACUUCUCAACUCAUCGUUUCAAGUCGUCGCUGUCAACUGAUCAGAGUGGACACACAAGCUGAUGUUUCGUUUUCUGCUGGUUUUGCUUCAACCUGAAGAACCCAACCUUCCCUCAGGGAAGGGAAGGAAUCUGUCUUAUGGACAUAAAGGGGAAACAGAGGGAUAAUUUAUGGCAGAAGAAUUGUCAGAGCCUGGCUCCACUAAACAGACUCUCCUCUGCCUCUCCACCUCAUUCACCUUGCCUUUUCCCAUGAAUAUGUUUUGUAUCUUGCAACCUGGAAAAUAAACACACAAUGCAUGUAUUAGAUAUAUUUUUC